UGCCAGACUCCUACGGGAGGCAGCAGUAGGGAAUCUUUCACAAUGGGCGAAAGCCUGAUGGAGCAACGCCGCGUGCAGGAUGAAGGCCUUCGGGUUGUAAACUGCUUUUAUAAGCGAGAAAUAUGAUGGUAACUUAUGAAUAAGGAUCGGCUAACUACGUGCCAGCAGCCGCGGUAAUACGUAGGGGGCGAGCGUUGUCCGGAUUUACUGGGUGUAAAGGGUGCGUAGGCGGCUUGGCAAGUCAGUAGUGAAAUCCAUGGGCUUAACCCAUGAACUGCUAUUGAAACUGUCGAGCUUGAGUGAAGUAGAGGUAGGCGGAAUUCCCGGUGUAGCGGUGAAAUGCGUAGAGAUCGGGAGGAACACCAGUGGCGAAGGCGGCCUACUGGGCUUUAACUGACGCUGAGGCACGAAAGCGUGGGUAGCAAACAGGAUUAGAUACCCGAGUA
rnacentral:rRNA from 1 species